rnacentral:rRNA from 1 species
UACGUAGGGGGCAAGCGUUGUCCGGAAUCAUUGGGCGUAAAGCGCGUGUAGGCGGUUCAGUAAGUCUGCUGUGAAAGUCCAGGGCUCAACCCUGGGAUGCCGGUGGAUACUGCUGAACUAGAGUGCGGAAGAGGCGAGUGGAAUUCCCGGUGUAGCGGUGAAAUGCGCAGAUAUCGGGAGGAACACCAAUUGCGAAGGCAGCUCGCUGGGACGUUACUGACGCUGAGACGCGAAAGCGUGGGGAGCAAACAGG